rnacentral:rRNA from 1 species
AUUGAACGCUGGCGGCAGGCCUAACACAUGCAAGUCGAGCGGCAGCGGGAAAGUAGCUUGCUACUUUUGCCGGCGAGCGGCGGACGGGUGAGUGAUGCCUGGGGAUCUGCCCAGUCGAGGGGGAUAACAGUUGGAAACGACUGCUAAUACCGCAUACGCCCUACGGGGGAAAGGAGGGGACCUUCGGGCCUUUCGCGAUUGGAUGAACCCAGGUGGGAUUAGCUAGUUGGUGGGGUAAUGGCUCACCAAGGCGACGAUCCCUAGCUGGUCUGAGAGGAUGAUCAGCCACACUGGAACUGAGACACGGUCCAGACUCCUACGGGAGGCAGCAGUGGGGAAUAUUGCACAAUGGGGGAAACCCUGAUGCAGCCAUGCCGCGUGUGUGAAGAAGGCCUUCGGGUUGUAAAGCACUUUCAGCGAGGAGGAAAGGUUGGCGCCUAAUACGUGUCAACUGUGACGUUACUCGCAGAAGAAGCACCGGCUAACUCCGUGCCAGCCGCCGCAGUAAAAC